ACCCGACUGGGUUAGUCAAUAGAACAUGAGACUCUUAAUCUCAGGGUUGUGGGUUUGAGCCCCACCUUGGGUG
rnacentral:tRNA from 1 species